AUGGGGAUGGUGGAGGUGGAGUCAACUUACUCUUGGGAAUGGUUUCUCACCACUUUGAAUAAUGAUUUAAACAUCAUUAACACCUCACCUUUCACUAUAAUGAGUGAUAAGCAAAAGGGUUUGAUCAAUGCUGUUGAGAAGAUAUGGCCAGAUGCAGAACACAGAUUUUGUGUUAGACAUUUUUAUCAAAACAUCCACCAGAAGUUCAAAGGGGAAACACUGAAGAAUAUAUUGUGGGCCAUUGCUAGGUCAACUAAUAUGGACAAGUGGACCUUGAACAGAGAGAAGCUGAGGGCACAGAACUUGGAGGCAUAUAAUUGGUUGGAUGGCAAGACCCCCAACCAGUGGGUGAAAGCAUACUUUAGAGAUUUCCCCAAGUGUGACAUCUUGCUGAACAACAUGUUAGAGGUGUACAACAGCUACAUCUUGGAUGCAAGAGAAUUGUGUGUUACAUCAAUGCUAGAAUGCAUAAUACAUAGAAUUACUAUGAGGCAUGACAGAAAGUACAAAGAAGCUUCAAAAAAGUGGACUGGACUUAUCUGCCCCAAGAUUAGGAAGAAACUGGACAAGAAUGCAGAGUACUCAGGUAACUGCUUUCCAACACAUUCAGGACUUGGCAUUUAUGGUGUUGAAUCAGGUAACAACAAGUAUGUUGUGGAUAUUCCAGCCAGAACUUGUGAUUGCAAAAAAAUUUAG
rnacentral:rRNA from 1 species